rnacentral:rRNA from 1 species
GAACGAGAAAGUGGAGCAAUCCAUGAGUAAAGUGGCGACCGGGUGAGUAACACGUGACUAACCUGCCCUAGAGUGGGGGAUAACCUCGGGAAACCGGGGCUAAUACCGCAUAACAUCGUGAGGGGAAGAUCCUUGUGAUCAAAGGAGCAAUUCGCUCAAGGAGGGGGUCGCGGCUGAUUAGUUAGUUGGUGAGGUAACGGCUCACCAAGACUUAGAUCAGUAGCCGGCCUGAGAGGGCGCACGGCCACACUGGAACUGAAACACGGUCCAGACUCCUACGGGAGGCAGCAGUGGGGAAUUUUGCGCAAUGGGGGAAACCCUGACGCAGCAACGCCGCGUGGAGGAUGAAGUCCCUUGGGAUGUAAACUCCUUUCGAUCGGGACGAUCGUGACGGUACCGCUAGAAGAAGCCCCGGCUAACUUCGUG